UCUAAAAUGGCAGAAUAGUGCAAUAGAUUUAAACCCUAUACAAAAAUUACUUAAUUUUUUUAGAA
rnacentral:tRNA from 2 species